GGUUUUGAUCCUGGCUCAGAUUGAACGCUGGCGGGAUGGCUUUACACAUGCAAGUCGAACGGCAGCACGGACUUCGGUCUGGUGGCGGGAAGUGGCGAACAUGGGGAUGAGUAAUGUAUCAGGACGGGGUCUGCACCCGCAAUGGCGGGGGGAUAACUACGCGAAAGCGUAGCUAAUACCGCAUACGCCCUUCGAAAGCGAGAGACGGGCCUCGCACUAUUAAACGGUGAUAUCGGAUUAGCUAGUUGGUGGGAGUAACGCUCACACAAGGCGACGAUCCGUAGCUGGUUUGAGAGGACGACCAGCCACACUGGAGCAAAGUUGCAGCCGAACUCCUGUUCGGGAGAGGCGAUGGGAGUACGGACAAUGGGAAACCUGAUCCAGCCAUCCCGCGUGUGCGAUGAAGGCCUUCAGGUUGUAAAGCACUUUUGAAACGGGAAAGAAACGGCACGGGAUAUUACCCGUGCAACUGACGGUACCUGCGAAUAAGCACCGGCUAACUACGUGCCAGCAGCCGCGGUAAUACGCAAGGUUAAUCGGAAUUACUGGGCGUAAAGCGUGCGCGAGCGGUUCGGAAAGAAAGAUGUGAAAUCCCAGAGCUUAACCUGGAACUGCAUUUUUAACUACCGAGCUAGAGAGUGUGUCAGAGGAGGUGGAAUUCCCGCGUGUAGCAGUAGAAAUGCGUAGAUAUGCGGAGGAACACCGAUGGCGAAGGCAGCCUCCUGGGGAUAACACUGACGCUCAUGCACGAAAGCGUGGGGCAAACAGGAUUAGAUACUUCUGGUAGUCCACGCCUAAACGAUGUCAACUAGCUGUUAGAGGCCUUGAGCCUUGGUAGCGCAACUAACGGUGAGUUGACCGCCAUGGAAAUACGGUCGCGAUUAAAACUCAAAGGAAUUGACGGGGACCCACAGGCGGUGGAUGAUGUGGAUUAAUUCGAUGCAACACUUGAAAAGCCUUACCUACCCUUGACAUGUCUGUGGAAUCGGAAGGGUUGCGGGGAUAACCUCGCAGAGAACCGGAACACAGGUGCUGCCAUGGCUGUCGUCAGCUCGUGUCGUGAGAUGUUGGGUUAAGUCCCUGGCGUGAGCGCAACCCUUGUCAUUAGUUGCUGCGAAGGGCACUCUAAUGAGACUGCGCAGUGAUAAACCGGAGGAAGGUGGGGAUGACGUCAAGUCCUCGCAGCCUUAUGGGUAGGGCUUCGCGUCGUACAAUGGUCGGGACAGAGGGUCGCCAACCCGAGGAGGCGAUGCCGAAACCCGAUCGUAGUCCGGAUCGCGAUCUGCAGGCACGACUGCGUGGAGUUGGAAUCGCUGAAAGUAAUCGCGGAUCAGCAUGUCGCGGUGAAUACGUUCCAGGUCUUAGCACGCCUUUAGUCACACCAUGGGAGUGGGUUUGCAGAAGUAGUUAGCCUAACCGUAAGGGCGAUUACCACGGUAGGAUUCAUGACUGGGGUGAAGUCGUAACAAGGUAG
rnacentral:rRNA from 1 species